rnacentral:tRNA from 1 species
GCUGAGUUGGUUUAAUUGGUAAAACUGUCGUUUUGUAAUCGAUAUAUAUUGGUUCGAGUCCGAUACUUUGCA